ensembl:rRNA 5S_rRNA 5S ribosomal RNA
GUGUAUGGCCAUACCACCCUGAAUGUUCCUGAUCUUUUCUGAUCUCGGAAGCUAAGCAGGAUCUGGCCUUGUUAGUUCUUGGAUGGGAGACCAUCUGGGAAUUCCAGGUGCUGUAGGCC